UACGAACGGAGCGAGCGUUGUUCGGAUUCAUUGGGCGUAAAGGGUGCGUAGGCGGUCGUGUAAGUCGGAUGUGAAAUCUCAGGGCUCAACCCUGAAACUGCAUUCGAUACUGCAUGGCUAGGGUACUGGAGAGGAGACUGGAAUUUACGGUGUAGCAGUGAAAUGCGUAGAUAUCGUAAGGAAGACCAGUGGCGAAGGCGAGUCUCUGGACAGUUACCGACGCUGAGGCACGAAGGUCAGGGGAGCAAACGGG
rnacentral:rRNA from 1 species